rnacentral:rRNA from 1 species
UACGGGGGGGAGCAAGCGUUGUUCGGAUUUACUGGGCGUAAAGGGCGCGUAGGCGGUCGUGACAAGUCACUUGUGAAAUCUCCGGGCUUAACUCGGAACGGUCAAGUGAUACUGUCGGACUAGAGUACAGAAGGGGCAACUGGAAUUCUCGGUGUAGCGGUGAAAUGCGUAGAUAUCGAGAGGAACACCUGCGGCGAAGGCGGGUUGCUGGGCUGAUACUGACGCUGAUGCGCGAAAGCUAGGGUAGCAAACGGG